rnacentral:rRNA from 1 species
CCUACGGGGGGCAGCAGUGAGGAAUAUUGGUCAAUGGACGCAAGUCUGAACCAGCCAUACCGCGUGCAGGAAGACGGCCCUAUGAGUUGUAAACUGCUUUUGUACGAGGGUAAACGCAGAUACGUGUAUCUGUCUGAAAGUAUCGUAUGAAUAAGGAUCGGCUAACUCCGUGCCAGCAGCCGCGGUAAUACGGAGGAUUCAAGCGUUGUCCGGAUUUAUUGGGUUUAAAGGGUGCGUAGGCGGUCGGUUAAGUUAGAGGUGAAAUUCCGGGGCUCAACUUCGGAAUUGCCUUUGAUACUGGUCGGCGAGAGAGUAGUUGAGGUAGGCGGAAUGGAUGGUGUAGCGGUGAAAUGCUUAGAGAUCAUACAGAACACCGAGUGCGAAGGCAGCUUACCAAGCUACUUCUGACGUUGAGGCACGAAAGCGUGGGGAGCAAACAGGAUUAGAUACCCCAGUAGUC